rnacentral:lncRNA from 1 species
AAAUAGAUAAAUGGCUAGAGAAAGAUGCAAACGGGGCAAACGUGUGUGUUUGGUUGGAGAAAGUUGGUCACUGGGCUUGGAGUGGCUGUCGGAGGCUGUGGAGAUUGGGGGGUCGUUUGGUGUGAGGGCGAGGGAAGAAAGGUUAAUGCGGCGGCUAUUGGUUGGAACAAGGCUAGGGUUCGUUGUGGCUAUUGGUAUUCUAGACGGUGGUGG